ensembl:snRNA U6 U6 spliceosomal RNA
GUGCUUGCUUCAGCAACACACAUACUAAAAAUUGGAAUGAUACAGAGAGGAUUAGUAUGGCCCUUGCACAAAGACAACAGGCAAAUCCAUGAAGCAGUCCCAAAAAUC